CUGAACUGUAGAAAACUGGGAAACUACCUAGAAAACACCCUUGUAUUUUUCUUUUGGACAACUUUAUUUUUCCAUUUCUGCUGAAGAGGAAUGCUCUCAAUUGCAAACACAUUCAUAUUGCAUAGAAGCGGCAUUACAAGAAGUGCUUGCCUUGUGUUUUGGACAAAUGCACAAACAUAUUGAUUAUGUGCAUACUUCAUACAGCGUGGAUGGUAUGAAAGCAUUUCAGAAAGCUUAGUGGUUGUUCUCUUUUAUUUAAAGAGUAUUUAUUGGUAUCAAACUUCUCAUCAUCUGCAGAGGUCACCUUUAGAGAGGCUGAUGCUGACUGAGGCAAGAGCUUUCUAAGCCCUCUGAAUAGUGGAGGACUUCUAACUACCUGGAAUGCCUCUUCUCUGUUUUCCCUUUAAAAAAAUCCCUUGUAGUUACUUUCUGAAUUGCUGGCUCCUUACACCUCCAUUCAGCACCCGGAUUUCCUGCUGCUCAGAACCAGUCCUUCUGAUUUUGAAUCAGAUAUAUUUUAAACACUUGUACACAUUCUCUUCUUCAGGCGCUGAAGAUUCACAACAUUUAUAACAAUUCAACUGAUAGUUGCAGUUUGACAGGAUUCUUAUGAUGGUUAUUUAUCAGAAACUUGAGAAGAUAUGAGGUGUCACUUUUCUAGUUAGCCAAUGAAUCUGCCUAGAAUGCUCAGGUAUCUGAGAUAGUGAUAUUUCAUCAGUGAACAUUUACACAAGCAACUGAGGAAAGGGAGGUGGUGCCCUUAACAGUCUAGCUUGCUUUGCUUUCACAGUUCUAAAUAGAAGAGUGAGUAUUCUCAGCCAGUGUAACUGUAUUCAUGUGCAGUCAUCGUAAUUUUCAUACAUAUUUCCAGAAUGGUUUGGGAAACAUCCCACAAACAAUGAUCAUCUUAGUGGGUCUAGUUCAAUGACUCAUGUAAACUGCAGAUGUUUUACAUUCUCUAGCCUUUUAAAAUGACAGAUUUGUUCAUAUUCCUUAGGAUCAGCUGACUAAGUGUGCAAAACAGCAUUGUGCAAUAUUCUGCUUCUGAUAUUGGCUAGCACCACAUUUACAGUAAGGUAAGACAGCUUUAAAAUGUACUGUUUUCAUUAUUUGCAAGGAAAAAAGGUUCUUUUCUCCUAGCCCUGCCAAUUAAUGUUUAAAUUAUCUAGAAGCAUGUUUAACUGUUGUAAAUUUUAUAGUUAUUAGUAUUCUUACAUCUAGUUAAUGUUAAUGUCUAACUUGGACACUUUUUAGAUACCUAACAUGAUAUUUCAGUGAAUUCUGUGAUUUAAUUGUGCAGGGCUUAAGAAGUAAUAAUCCUUGUCUCAGCUUUAAAAUGUAUUGGCUUGAUCACCUUGCAGUAUGCCUGCUUGAGUGGUUUUGUGGCAAUCUUCUUCUAUACGAAAUACUUAUCACAAUCAUAAACACCUAAUGGAGCUGAAUACUAAUUAGUCUUCCAACUAACAGAGUUGGAAGAGCAUCAGAGUGUCCCACUGCAUUGCAUUAGUCUUUUAUUUAUAGAAACAUACUGCUGAUGAAAACAGUAGCAUGGAUAGGAAAACACUGGUUGUUCUUAAAAAUGAAGCAUUUGGUAUUAUCAAAAUAAUUUUGUAUUUCCUUUUUUUCACUGCAGAAAAUGCUGUGUCAUGCUUUGUGUGGGUAGAAACCCCAUAGGACAUGUAUAUAUCUUUAGUUGCUUGUAGAGUAGGGCUUUUUGGUUACAGUUAGCUAAUCCUUGCUGUUCCUCUGGCAGAAAUGUGGCACAUCUUACUGCAGCUUAAGGUACUACUCACAUAUAAGGGCAAUUGUUAAAUGACUGCUGUUAAUAUCAUGUAUUUUAAUAACAAAUGAAAGUGUUAGUGAUCUGGUAGGCUUUCUAAAAGGCCAGAUCUUUUCUUUGGGGGUCAAAAUCCACCUGAGUUAAAAAAGAAGAGAAGGAAAAGCUACUUUUUGUCAUCAAGAGGAAGAAAAAUAGUACAGAGAAAUCAGUCACUAAUAUUUGCAAAUCCAGUUUAACCAUUUGGAAGUCAGCAAAAUCUUCCUUUCCCUCUCUACUUGUUCAAGAGGUUCGAUAGCUUUGUAAUAAAAUGCUCAUAAAGGUAUCUUGAAACAGACACAAGAAAAUUAAACCCUUAGAUUGUAAU
ensembl:lncRNA